rnacentral:sRNA from 1 species
AGUAUCCACCACACCCAUUCAUUGUCACUUUCAACGGGAAUCAUCCAACACCACCAGCAGCACCGCCGCUCGCCAAUCAACAUCUGCACACGUUGAAGACGAUGCAGUUCUACCAGCCACCGGCUCAGCAGCACCUUGCGCGGAGCACACCGCCUCCGAAUUUUGCUCAGGUUACAAUUUAAUUUAAUUAUAAAAAAAAAGCUAAGAUAACCGAUUCAAUUUUCAGCCCUAUGGAAUGGGAAUGCGCCCACACGAGGAAGAAACUCGACAGAUUAUGAAUUUGGAUAGUCAACAGACGCACAGCUCGUCGCCAACAUCUUCAUGG